UUAUUUGGUGUUCCAUGGUAUUCAGCUUUUUAUCACCUAAUAUUUCAGCUCUUCUAUUAUGUCAUAACCUGAUCUGAGUAAUCAUGAUAGGACACCUCAUAUUAUGCACUGCUCCUAGUGACACUCUCCAAUGGAUCCCCAUCCUCCACCCACUGUGAGGUAGGUAGGAGCGGAUUGUUAGCCCUACUUGAAAGAGGAAGAAGCUAAGACUGAGAAAGGAGAAUUGAC